AAAGCUCGUUUGGUUGCUCAAGUUUAUAAACAACUGUAGGGCAUUGACUUUGAUAAGACUCUCCUAUAGUCAAGCCCACUACCAUUCGCAUCAUCAUAUCUGUAACUCUUUUCUAUGGUCGGAACCUUCAAUAACUAGAUGUGCAAAAAUCCUUUCUUCAUGGUCUUCUUUCUAAGGAGGUUUACAUAAAGGGAACCACCAGAAUUUGUUCAUCCAUCAUUUCCAAAUCAAGUGUGUCGGUUGAAGAAGGUUCUCUACAGGCUCAAACAAGCACCAUAAGCAGAAUCCAAAGAAUCGGUUUCGGGGCGAGUACUAAAUUUUCAGAAAUCACAACAAGUUACGGAUUCUCAACAAUUGGUAUCAAAACCAAGUUGCGGAUUCUCAACAAUUGGUAUCGAAGAUCAAGGUUUCCGAUCAGCACAAAGAUUGACAUCAGAGCACAGGGUUACAGAUCUCGGGAGAGAUCGAUGUCAGAGAACAAGUUUACCGAUUCUCGCAAGAGAGCAACAUUAGAGAAUGGUGUUACCGAUCGCUAGCAGCGACUGAUAUUAGAGCGCAAUUUGAUCUUGUUAAGCGCAUUGGACUCAAAAGGAUUGUGAGUUUUUCAACUUUAGGUGGAACUAUGAGGAUUUAGGGUUACAAAAGGAGUUUGCUGUGAUGGAUUUGGGUCCAUUUUAUUAUUUUAUAAGGGUUGAGGUCACAUAAUCUAUUUCAGAUCUAUAUCUAACUCAACAAAAAUAUGCUAAACAGUUGUUGGACCAUCAUGGUCUCUUUUUUAGCAAGUCACUUGCUAGUCCUUUUUCCUCUAACACUCAUUAGCCUGUUCAUGAGGGAACCUUGCCGGAUGACCUCUAUGUUUAUCAUCAAAUGAUUAGUGCUCUUUGGUAUCCAAUCUUCACUGGACCAAAUAUUUCUUAUUUUGUUAA